ACUCCCAUUUCUCCAGCAUAGUGCUUCGCUUAGCGGUCUCUCUUCCGCAUGUGGCGGAUUAUUCUCUCUUUCAUGCGGAUUAUUUCCCCUCCAUCUGAAUGGAUUACCUUCUACCAUGGAUGCUCCUACUAGCCGGUAUGAAGUAGUAUGGGUGAUCGGUAGUUUCUCAACACUAAGAGAGCUUCCUUCAAAGCAGGUAAAGGUGUUAUCACUCCCAUUUCCCCAGCUUAGUGCCUCAUUUAGCGAUCUCUCUUCCGCAUGUGGCGGAUUAUUCUCUCUUUCAUGCGGAUUAUUUCCCCUCCAGCCGAAUGGGUUACCUUCUUCCGUGGAUGCUCUCUUGGUGUCGAGAAAUCAUUUUUGAUUUUUAAGCCGUCAGCGUUUUCGGAUCGAAAAAUGAUUCUGCAACACCAGUGAGCAUCAAAGGAGGUAGAGGUGUUAUCACUACCAUUUCUCCAGCAUAGUGCUUCGCUUAGCGGUCUCUCUUCCGCAUGUGGCGGAUUAUUCUCUCUUUCAUGCGGAUUAUUUCCCCUCCAUCUGAAUGGAUUACCUUCUACCAUGGAUGCUCCUACUAGCCGGUAUGAAGUAGUAUGGGUGAUCGGUAGUUUCUCAACACUAAGAGAGCUUCCUUCAAAGCAGGUAAAAGGUGUUAUCACUACCAUUUCCCCAGCUUAGUGCCUCAUUUAGCGAUCUCUCUCCCGCAGGUGGCGGUUAUUCUUUCUUUCAUGCGGAUUAUUUCCCCUCCAUCUGAAUGGAUUACCUUCUACCAUGGAUGCUCCUACUAGCCGGUAUGAAGUAGUAUGGGUGAUCGGUAGUUUCUCAACACUAAGAGAGCUUCCUUCAAAGCAGGUAAAGGUGUUAUCACUCCCAUUUCCCCAGCUUAGUGCCUCAUUUAGCGAUCUCUCUUCCGCAUGUGGCGGAUUAUUCUCUCUUUCAUGCGGAUUAUUUCCCCUCCAGCCGGAUGGGUUACCUUCUUCCGUGGAUGCUCUCUUGGUGUCGAGAAAUCAUUUUUGAUUUUUAAGCCGUCAGCGUUUUCGGAUCGAAAAAUGAUUCUGCAGCACCUACAAAGCAGGUAAGAUCAACUGUCUCUUCCUCCAGCUGAUUUCAGUAUUACCUUUUUCCAUGGAUGCUCUCGUGGUGCUGAAGAAAAAUCAUUCUUCAAAACUAAUACAAAAAUUUAAAAAAAAUCCAAAAAUUUGAAAAUUUCAUAACGCUUAUUUUUGUACCAAGUUUUUUGCCUAUAUCUCGGUCGAUAUCCAACGGAUUGCCAAACUUUAACCUGUGGUCGAUAGAUGGCAACAAUGGCUACAUUUUCUUCUUGGACAGCCAUGCCCUCAGAUGUCUGUGCCAGAAGUUAUUCGAGGAACCAAGUUCCUUACCCUGUUUUUGAACAAUUUAGCAAAAUUGAAAAUUGUGAUAUAUUUUAAUGGGAAUUUGUUGCAAUAUGUUUCUUUUCACUUAAAUAGUGCUUUAAACUAAAAAAAGAAUAAAAAAUCUGAAAAAAAUUUCAAAAAAAUUUUCCACUCGAAAAUUUCAUAAGGCUUACCCCUUACGAUUUUUUUGGGAAAUUUUGCAAAAAAAAUUAAAUUGUUUUAUUUUAAUGCCAAUGGGUUGCAAUGAGUUUCUUUUCACUCUAAUAAUGCUUGAAAUAAAAAAAAGAGUGAAAAAUAAUAAAAAAAAAAUCGAAAAAUUCAAAAAAAAUGAAAAUUUUCCUCAUUUUUGCACCAAAUUUUGUCUAUAACUCGGUCGAUAUCCAACGGAUCGCCAAUCUUUAACCUGUGGUCGGUAGAUGGCACUAAUGGCUACAUUUUCUUCUUGGACAGCCAUGCCCUCAGAUGUCUGUGCCAGAAGUUAUUCGAGGAACCAAGUUCCAUACCCUGUUUGAGAAAAUGUAAAAUUUUCCUCAUUUUUGCACCAACUUUUGCCUAUAACUCGGUCGGUAUCCAACGGAUCGCCAAACUUUAACCUGUGGUCGAUAGAUGGCAACAAUGGCUACAUUUUCUUCUUGGACAGCCAUGCCCUUAGAUGUCUGUGCCAGAAGUUAUUCGAGGAACCAAGUUCCUUACCCUGUUUGAGAAAAUGUAAAAUUUUCCUCAUUUUUGAGCAAUGUAGCAAAAAUAUUAAAUGUGAUAUAUUUUGAUGGGAAUUUGUUGCAAUAAGUUUCUUUUCACUUAAAUAGUGCUUUAAAU